UACGAAGGGGGCGAGCGUUGUUCGGAAUUACUGGGCGUAAAGGGCGCGUAGGCGGUCGUGACAAGUCACUUGUGAAAUCUCCGGGCUUAACUCGGAACGGUCAAGUGAUACUGUCGGACUAGAGUACAGAAGGGGCAACUGGAAUUCUCGGUGUAGCGGUGAAAUGCGUAGAUAUCGAGAGGAACACCUGCGGCGAAGGCGGGUUGCUGGGCUGAUACUGACGCUGAGGCGCGAAAGCCAGGGGAGCGAACGGG
rnacentral:rRNA from 1 species